rnacentral:lncRNA from 1 species
AAAUGGCACCUAUGGGAGGGAGAUCGGCUCUCUUGUGGGCCCUGGAUUGUUGCUGCACACAGAGGACCCUGACAAAAGGAAACUAGCUAGAUUCAGCUGCUUUAAUUUUUAAAGAAAAAAAGGAGAAUGCUUGAUUUGAACAAGCAGCUCUGUAGCCCCCCCUUAAAUCCUUGUGCUUAUUUUGUACAGUUGGUUUCCAAGGAUCUGCGGUAAAAAUUUGAUCCCGGUGAGGGAAGUGAUGUCAUGUGAGCUGAAAAAGACUUAGAUUAAGACAUCAUUUUAAGACUGGAAAAGAAAUGGAGGCGGGAAGAAGGAGAGGAUGUGGCUUAGCGGUGAGGAGAGAAGAGGAUGUGUUAGGGGAGGGGCAUGUGACAUGUGAGGUCCCAGGAGACAGGAGGUCUGCUUGCGGAGGGAAGGGAAGGCUGUUUGUGCAGAGAGCAGGGCGGGGAAACCACUGUGGGGAACGGGGCAAUUACCACUCUGGGCAGAGGACUGCUGCAGCCAGGAAACCUGAGCUGAGAGCCACAGAGGCGCUGGUUUCAUUGUUGGUUUUAAUAGCUGGUGCACGGCUGUGCCCAUCUAAGGAUGCUUUCCUCAUUGCAUCAUGCAAGAUCUUUCAUUGUGGUGUGUGGACUCUCUCAUUGUGGCACGUGGACUCAGUGGUUGCAACACACAGGCUUAGUUCCUCUGAGGUAUGUGGGACCUUACUUCCCCUACCUGGGAUUGAACCCAAGUCUCCUGCAUUGCAAGGCAGAUUCCUAACCACUGAACCACUAGGGAAGUUCCCUAGGUGCACUACUAACAUGUUGAUAUGCCUUGCUAAACUCACAGUCCUAAUACAUUUUAACCACCUGAAUUGCAUAUUGCCUUUUUAA